UUUCAUUGUCUUGCUGAAAUAUGAAGGUCCUCCCUGAAAAAGUCUUUGUCUCAAUGGCAGCAUAUGUUGCUCCUAAACCUGUAGAUAUUGUUUAGCAUUGAUAGAGCCUUUACAGAUGUGGAAGAUACUCAUGGACACUGUUGAUCCCCACACCAUCAGGGAUGCUGACUUUGAACUGCGAGCUGAUAACAAGCUAAGUGGUCCCUGUACUCUUCAGAGAGAAGGGUGAAGUAUCCAUGACUUCUUGAAGGAAUCUCAAAUGUGGAUUCAUCAGACCACAGCACAGUUUUCUUCUUCUCCUCAGUCCACCUUAAAUGGGCUCAGGUCCAAAGAAGUAUCUGGUGCAUCCAGUCUUAGUUUUGGUCCUUGUCCCUUUAGUUACAAAGAUUUCUCCAGAUCCUCUGAAUCUUUGAAUGAUAUUUUGUUCUGUAGAUGAUGAAAUCCACUCAUUCUUUCACAUUUGACACUCAGGAACAUUAUUCUGAAACUGUUGAACUAUUAGCUCACACAGUCUCUCACAGAGUGGUGAACCUCUUCCCAUCUUUCUUUCUGAGAGACUCAGCCUCUCUGAAUGUCCUUUUUAUACCCAGUCAUGUUACUAACCAGUUGGAAAUUAACCUCAUCAGUUGGAGAUGUUCCUCCAGCUGUUUUUACAUUACAUAACUUUUGACCAGUUUGGUUGAUCUUCUUAUAAAUGAUUUGCAGAACAUCUGCAAUGAUUCGUGUCCUAACUUAUUGUAGAGUUCGUACACUGCUUGAUAUUUACGAGGAAAGCAGUCUGAAUUGUGGUGCAGGGAUCGCAGAAGGUUGAACUUGCCCUGAGGUAAUCCUGACUGGCUGUUUUGGAGGGAUGGUGGUGUACAGGCCAGCUGGUGUUACUCGUUCAGUCUCAGAGUUGGAUUAGUGUUACCCUCCUCAUGGUGCUGCUCAAGGAGAAGACUAAGAAAGUUGGUUGUUUGGCAGCUAAAGUCACUGACCAGCUGGUCACUGAAUUCACUCAGAUUAUGGGAUUGCUCCUUAAUCUUUAGCUUGGUUCAGACCCCUUCUACAGGACUUCAGGCCACCAGGGUCUCUUAUCGAUGGUUCAUGAUCCUCCAAAGGCACAGACACCCAGACAGGUUUUAUGAUUCCCUGAAGUUACAGAGCUGCAGGAACAGCUGAACAGUUUUCUACAGUCAAGACCAGACAUCACCAUCAAUCACACCGAGUCGUCCAGCACUCAUUUUCUGCACUUUGACCUCCUACCAGGUGUUGGUCUGUCGGACUCUGAAAUGACCUGGAGCCUUCUGAAGAGCAGGAGGUCAAAGUUCAGCCUUGCUCUCAAACUUUCCGGUAAACCAACAUGAAUCAAGUAGCCUCUGGGGCUGAAUGUCCUGCACUCAGGUCCAGCUAAGGCUCAUUUACCUCACAGCCAAGGAGAGACCUGACUCACCAGGACAGGACCAGGUGAGUCACAACCAGGUAGUUUUGCCCGAAACAGAGAGAGAACUCGGGUGUGUACAGUGGAUGGGUUAAAGUCCAGUGAGAACCCCUUAGAGUCCUGCUGGUCAAGUUUCAGAGUGAGUCUGUGGUUUCUUGUUAAACUGAGACCAGCAGAGAUUUUAUGUUGUGUUCACACCAAACACAAAUGGUGUCCAAACAUGUUUGUGUUCGCAAGAGAGGAGAAAGAGUCAGUCUUUUUAUAUCAAACACAGCAGAGGACAGAGGUUAAGCACACUGUGAUGAUCUGUCAUGUUUAAACAAUUAACCACAUAAUCAGACCUUAAUCCUCCAUCUUUUAUGAAUGAAUCUCUGCUGGUCUGUCAUUGAUAGACAUCAGCAGAGAAUCUCAAUGCUGAUUGGUUAUCACAGUGCGAGCGUUCACUUGAGUUCAGAUUCAUCUACUCUCACAAAUAAGCCUCUGAAGACAGUGUUGGAUGAGAUGCAAAUUGAGCAGACUAGUCGCACGUAUGAUCCACUCUGCCUUAUUUGGAUCGACUAUACAUGUAAUUCACUUGCAUGACUAAUUUUUUCAUGUUUGGUGUGAACGCACCGUUGGCCUCUUGAUCUUGGAGAGGAGACUCUGCAGACUGUUUUAGUGGUGGUGUGAGCUCAUAAAUCCUGGCCCUGCUUCAUCUCAGGUCAUGUGAAUUUGUUAUGAAUUACUGUGAGGUUGUGAGAUGAGAUUCAGAGUGAAAGAUCACCUCCAGUCAUCUUCAAUUAAAAAAAAAAACUAUUUGAAUCAGAGCCUGAGACAUCAAAACUUUAAUCCUGAC